AACGAACGCUGGCGGCAGGCCUAACACAUGCAAGUCGAGCGAAGCCUUCGGGCUUAGCGGCGGACGGGUGAGUAACGCGUGGGAACGUGCCCUUUGGUACGGAAUAGCCCCGGGAAACUGGGAGUAAUACCGGAUGUGCCCUUCGGGGGCAAGAUUUAUCGCCAAAGGAUCGGCCCGCGUUGGAUUUGGUAGUUGUUGGGGUAAUGGCCUACCAAGCGGACGAUCCAUAGAGGGUUUGAGAGGAUGAUCAGCCACACUGGGACUGAGACACGGCCCAGACUCCUACGGGAGGCAGCAGUGGGGAAUCUUAGACAAUGGGGGAAACCCUGAUCUAGCCAUGCCGCGUGAUCGAUGAAGGCCUUAGGGUUGUAAAGAUCUUUCAGUGGGGAAGAUAAUGACUGUACCCACAGAAGAAGCCCCGGCUAACUCCGUGCCAGCCGCCGCCGUAAGAC
rnacentral:rRNA from 1 species